GAGGCUAAGUCAAAGAUAUAUCUACUUGUCAAAAAAAGGUGGUUUUAAAGUGCUAUGAGGCAUGUUUGACAAGUAGAUAUAUCUUUGACUUAGCCUA